rnacentral:rRNA from 1 species
UACGUAGGGGGCGAGCGUUGUCCGGAUUUAUUGGGCGUAAAGAGCUCGUAGGCGGUUUGGUAAGUUGGAUGUGAAAUCUCCAGGCUCAACUUGGAGGGGUCAUUCGAUACUGCCAUGACUAGAGUUCGGUAGGGGAGUGUGGAAUUCCAGGUGUAGCGGUGAAAUGCGUAGAUAUCUGGAGGAACACCGGUGGCGAAGGCGGCAUCCUGGACCAACACUGACGCUGAGGAGCGAAAGCCAGGGGAGCAAACGGG